UUGUUACUCCCUCCGUCCGGACUUACUUGUUAUAGAAAUGGAUAAAAAUGGAUGUAUUUAGAACUAAAAUAUGUCUAGAUACAUCUAUUUAUACGACAAUUAUUCCCGGACGGAGGGAGUAGGUG
rfam:Triticum aestivum genome assembly, contig: Triticum_aestivum_CS42_TGACv1_scaffold_544530_6DS